UACGGGGGGGGCAAGCGUUGUUCGGAAUUACUGGGCGUAAAGGGCUCGUAGGCGGCCAACUAAGUCAGACGUGAAAUCCCUCGGCUUAACCGGGGAACUGCAUCUGAUACUGGAUGGCUUGAGUUCGGGAGAGGGAUGCGGAAUUCCGGGUGUAGCGGUGGAAUGCGUAGAGAUCCGGAAGAACACCGGUGGCGAAGGCGGCCUGCUGGGCAGUUGCUGACACUGAGGCGCGACAGCGUGGGGAGCAAACAGG
rnacentral:rRNA from 1 species